AUGAGGCUGAAUAGCUCAUAAAUGUAAAGUCCUGUGAUCAUAGAUCACUUGAAGUGAUUGUUGACAGAGCGAUGACACAGGACAAGGACACGAGGCCUCAUGGCAGAGGUGAGGUCAAGUAACGACAAUAGAGCAAUGACUUUGAAUUAUAAAAUAUAAUUAUUGAAUAAAGUACUAUAACAAUUCACAAGACCUUAAACAUUAUUACAUGGCGCAGUCUAGUGGAAAAUAAACCAAAAUCAUGGAAGUGAGGUUACCAAAUACAUUGUCAUUUGAAGGAAAUGUGGCCGAAAAUUUUAAAAGAUUCAGACAAAGUUUUGAAAUAUAUCUGAUGGCCUCUGGAAAAAGUGGUAAAAGUGAUGACGUUAAGGUAGCAAUUUUACUCAAUCUAAUUGGAGAAGAAGGCAUUGAAAUCUAUAACACUUUGGAAUUAACGGAGGCCCAAAAAGGCAAGCUAGCAGAUGUAUUGGAAGCAUUUGAGUCUUAUGUCACGCCUAGAAAAAACGUGGUCUAUGAAAGAUAUGUGUUUUACAACCGCAUUCAAGAAGAAAGAGAGCCGUUUGACCACUUUUUAACAGAUUUAAAAAACAAAGUAAAAAAUUGUGAGUUUGGAGCAGAAGCAUCUUCAAUGGUAAGAGAUAGAAUAGUAUUAGGCACUAAUAGUAAGGAUGCACAACAAAACAUGUUAAAGACCAUUAAUUUAGAUCUGGCUAAAGCUAUUGAAAUAUGUAAAAUGCAUGAAAUAUCCCAAGCUCAAAUAAAAGAAGUUCAGAACAGCUUGGAGAAGGUUAAAAUUGAAUCAAUUGGGAGUAAAGCCAAGCAGGGGCAAAAUUCAGUCCAAACAUUCAGGAGUGCAAAUUCUAGAGAUGAAUAUAGCUGCAGAAACUGUGGGAGAGUCCAUGGGCCAAGGAGGUGUCCAGCAUAUGGAAAAAAGUGCAGAAAGUGCGGUAAAAAUAACCAUUUCGAUAAAGUGUGUUAUCAUAGCAGGUUAGUGAGAGAAGUACAAGUGGAAGAAAGUGAAAAUAACGAGGUAGGUGAUUUUAUGAUAUCAUCAAUCACUGUUAAUGAAAUCAAGAAUAAAAAUAAUAAAGACUGGAUCGAAAAUUUAAAAAUUAGUAAUGUUGAUAUACCUUUUAAAAUAGAUACAGGGGCACAGGUUAACAUUUUGCCUAAUGGUUUUGUUCAAAAAGUUUGCAAAAUUAAUGAUUUAAAAGAAACUAAAGUCAUACUUGAAACAUAUGGUGGUUUUAAGGUCGUUCCUAUUGGUACAAUAAAACUUGUCUGUAAAUAUAAAAAUAUUGAUUAUUUAUUAGAAUUUGUUGUAGUUAAAGAUAGCCUUACACCAAUUUUAGGGUUAAAAUCAUGCUUAGAUUUAGAUUUGAUACGAAGAGUAGAUAACAUAGAUUUAAACAUAACAAAAAGUGCCUUUAUUAAACAAAAUAGUGAUGUAUUCAUUGGAUUAGGCAAAUGUCCUCAAAAAUGUAAACUAAAACUUAAAGAUAAUUGUGUUCCUGUAGCUAAACCACCACGAAGGGUCCCUUUAGCCAUUAAAAAAAGAUUAGAAAACACACUUUUAGAUUUAGAAAAACGUGGCAUCAUAUCUAAAUGUGAGGGUCCUACUGAGUGGUUGAGCAAUUUAGUUAUCGUUGAAAAGCCUGAUAAAACGUUAAGAAUCUGUUUGGAUCCUAAAGAUUUAAACCAAGCGCUUGAAAAGGAAUAUUGCUUAAUACCUACUAUUGAAGAGAUAUGCAAUAAGUUAAAAAACAAAUGCUAUUUUUCUGUUUUAGACUUUAAAGAGGGAUUCUAUCAAGUUCAGCUAGAUGAGGAGUCCAGUAGAGUUUGUGCAUUUGGAACUCCCUUUGGAAUUUGGAAAUUUGAUAGACUUCCAUUUGGACUAAAUAUUGCCCCCGAAUUUUUUCAAAGAAUUAACUUAGAGAAUUUUGGUGAUAUUGAGGGCUGUCUUAUAUAUUUUGAUGAUCUUUUGAUAUUUGCUGAUAGUCUUAAAGAACAUGAUAGAAUCCUUAAUGAAGUAUUGGAACGUGCUAGAAAUAUUGGGGUAAAAUUUAAUUCUAAUAAGAUACAAUAUAGAAUGUCUGAAGUAAAAUAUUUGGGAAAUACAUUUGAUAAAAAUGGUAUGAGACCUGACUUAGAUAAAAUAAAAGCUAUUAUUAAUUUAAAAGAACCCAAUAAUAAAAAAGAGUUACAAAAAAUAUUGGGCAUGAUCAAUUAUCAUCGCAGUUUUAUACCAAACUUAUCGGAUGUAUCAGCCCCAUUAAGAGAAUUGUUAAAAAAGAAUACACUUUGGGUGUGGACUAAAAGUCACACAGACGCAUUAAAUUUAAUAAAAAAGUUAAUUUGCUCACCACCAGUUCUUGCAAAUUUUGAUGAAAAUAAGUCAAUAAUAAUUCAAACAGAUUCAAGUCAAAAUGGCGUGGGAUGUGUAUUACUGCAGAAUCAUAAACCGGUAUCUUUUGCUUCUAGGUCUUUAACUGAUUGUGAAACUAGAUUUAGCCAGAUUGAAAAGGAACUAAAUGCAAUCCUAUUUUCUUGUACUAAAUUUCAUAAUUAUAUUUAUGGUAGAGAAGUUAAGGUAUUCACAGAUCAUAAGCCAUUGAUUUCGAUAAUGAAGAAAGGCAUAGCUGAAGUAGAUUCUCCUAGACUACAACGUAUGAAGGUAAAAUUAUUAAAAUAUGACUUAACUGUGGAAUAUAUGCCAGGCAAGGAAAUGCUAAUAGCUGAUUUGUUAUCUCGUAAUUUUGUGAAGGAAAAGGUAGAGGAUGAUGCUUUUGUAACAGAAAUAGUGCAUACAAUAAAUAUAACAGAUGAAAGGAGAGAGGAAUUUAUAGCUGAAACUAAACAGGAUAAAAAACUUCAAUUGAUCAAAGAUUUUUGUGAAAAAGGGUGGCCGUCAUGCUCUUCGAGGGUACCUUAUGUAGUAAAAGAUUAUUUUAGUAUUAGGCAUGACAUCUACAUAUUGAAUGAUUUGAUAUUUUAUAUGGACAGAGUUAUAGUCCCGGAUUCUUUAAGGCCUAGGAUGUUAAAGUUUCUUCAUGAAACACACUUUGGAGUUACAAAGACACAGCAAAGAGCAAGGCAAGUGUUGUUCUGGCCAAAUAUGAAUAAGGACAUAGUGGAUUUGGUUAGAAAUUGUGUUGAUUGUGAGAAAUAUCACAGAAGUAAUGUUAAAGAGCCAUUAAUACUAAGAGAAAUUCCAGAACUUCCAUUUCAAAUGCUAGCGGCUGAUAUUUGUGAGUUCGGAGGAGCAUCUUAUUUAAUUGUAAUGGAUUAUCUCACAAAGUGGAUUGAAAUUGUUCUGUUGCCGUCCAAAACAUCCCAGUCAAUAAUAAAAUCAUUUAAGACCAUGUUUGCCACUCAUGGGAUUCCUUUGGAAAUUGUAUCUGACAAUAUGCCUUUUGGCUCUAAGGAAUGUAGAGAAUUCUCUAGAGAAUGGAAUUUUAAAUUUGUGACAUCUAGCCCUAGAUAUCCUAGAUCAAAUGGGCAGGCGGAACGAGCUGUUCAGAUAGCUAAAAAUAUUCUCAGAAAGUGUGGUGAUCUUCAGUUAGCUUUAUUAGAAUAUAGGAACACACCACUGUUAGGAUCAGACAAGUCCCCAGCACAACUCUUGAAUAGUCGUAGACUUAGAAGCAAACUUCCAGUCUUACAUGAAAAAUAUUUACCAGAACAAGUAGACCUAACAAGUGAAAAGAAUAAAUUGGAUGACAAAAGAAAAUUGUACAAGCACUACUAUGAUAGAAAUACAGCUGCAAGAGAAGAAUUAAGUGAAGGCGAUAACGUUGUUAUAAGGGAAGAUGGGCAAUGGAAACCUGCUGUGGUCAGGCAAUGUUUACAAGAGCCAAGAUCAUAUGUUAUUGAGAAAGAAAAUGGAACAUUGGUAAGAAGAAAUAAAUAUCACUUGAGACCAUCUAGUAAUACGCCUAAACAUCACAUUAAAUUAGAAGAUGAUCUUGAUGAUAAUCAGAGUAACAAACCUUCAACAUCAAUGGCCUGUGAGAGUGAAGUACCGAAUCAGUUUCCUACCAGAGGUAAAAGAGUAAUUAAACCCCCAACUCGAUAUAAUGAUUUCGAGAUGUACUAGUUUUGUAAUCACUUAAUAUUAUUGUUAGUCGUAGGUAGUAUUAGUAUUUUAUAAUAUUUUAUUCUGAGUUUAUUGUUGUAAGUUCUCUGCUUUAUAGGAAGGGAAAGAUGUCAUGAGGCUGAAUAGCUCAUAAAUGUAAAGUCCUGUGAUCAUAGAUCACUUGAAGUGAUUGUUGACAGAGCGAUGACACAGGACAAGGACACGAGGCCUCAUGGCAGAGGUGAGGUCAAGUAACGACAAUAGAGCAAUGACUUUGAAUUAUAAAAUAUAAUUAUUGAAUAAAGUACUAUAACAAUUCACAAGACCUUAAACAUUAUUACAUUACCGUUGUUAAUUGAUAGAUACAGUGGCCUUAUGGCAGUUUCAGUAAAAACAUAUUGGCUUAUAAUACUCUUGAUAUAACGUUAAUCUAAAAACUGUUACAUUUAUUGAAUAUUGUUUUGAUUUAUGUUAUGUGUUAAUUGUUUAAUGUAUAAGAAUAACUUUGAAUAAGGAUAGGUACUUAUAAAAAUUGAAGGUAUUCCCGAAUCUUAAACAAAAUUGCGGAAAGUAAUGAGUUUAGGUACAUUUAAAAAAUAUGAGGAAUUCAUAAUUUUCUUUUGUAGUUCACUCUGUAUACGAAUAUUUGUCAAUGAUUUUUCUUUAACUUAUUUUGAAAACUAGAACAUAUUGUUUACCUUCUUAUGUAAAAUGAAUACUGACUUAAUUAUUUAUUCCUUCCUUAUAUGCAGUGUGUUUAUGUCAUAGCGAUUUCGAAAUAAAAAUGGUCAUGACUUGUUAAAGACUCUGUAUGUAUAGUACAUAGUAUUAUUAUGAAGUUAUCGACCAAUGUAUCACUAAAAACUCACCGUGUAUAUAUUUCGCUGUAGAUAUUUUUCUUAAUUGAGCUCGUUCUUUCAUUAUUACACUGAUUCAUUAUUAAUCUUUAACUUUUUGGGCUAGAACACCAAACAAAAAUAUAUUUUAUAUAAAUUUUGCAGAACUUAAUUCCUUGUUUCUUUAUCCAUAUUCUAUAAAUAGAUACUCUUAUCAAUAUAGGUUGGUUAUUAGUUAUACAAAAGCAAUUUCACAAUAUUUUAAACUCCAAAAUUAAAUGGAGCGAUUUUUGAACAGCCAUAUCUUAACAAAUUUUUGUCUUACAGGAAAACAAAAAAUCCAAAAUAUUCAGAAAAGCAAAACCUACAUUUUUUUACUGCUUGAGAUUUUUGGUACCUACCUAUAACUAAUAUUUUUUAAGUUAAUUGAAAAAAAAGGAAUUUUUUCAAGAUUAAAAAAAAUUACUUUAAAACCAAAUUUUUUCAAAAAUGAGCACUUUAAGCCGAUGAAACUUACAUAUCAUAUAAACAAUACAUAGUAUAUAAAGUAAAUGGUAAAGCUGUAACGAUUAAUUUCAUUUGGAAUGCUAAUUAGGGGGUGAUUUUUACGAUUUUUUUACCAAAUAAAGGUUGCUUGUUCUUGUUGCUAGAAACUUUUUUAAAAAUCAAAAAUAAAACUUUUUUUGAAACACUUUAAAGAAGUUGUAAUGAGUUGUCCCCGAAAAGUACUCAAUUUUUUGGCUAUUUCAAGUUGAAAUAUUCAAUUUGGAAUUUGACGAAUAAGAACCUACUUUUCAUUAGCUACAACUCUGCUUUUACUGGGUUUGCAGACUUCAUAUAUGAAUUAUUUUUUUCACUUUUUUUAAGCUAUAUUUUUGCUACGAGUAUUUUUUCGAUAAAAUAAUUCAUUUUUGUGUUAUUUGCAAAAAACCAUCUGAACAAGGGUUUUUUGUCGAAAAAUGAACAUAUUCACUCGCAAAUAACUCGAAAAGUAUUCACUUAGUGAAAAUCUCUAUACAACAAAAGUUGCUUAGAAUUAGUCAGUUUAGCCAAUUCCGGACUUUGAACGUAUGUUUUUUCACCCCCGAGAAUACCUCCAAGUAUUUUCGGCCGUAUUCCCCAGAGAAUACCCCUUUUACCCCCAGGGCAAAAGCACACAUCGGCACAAUAUCACUUCUUUUUUUGUUAACUAUGUGUAUGACAAAUUUCAUUAACAUAAUCGGUUCUUUAAAAUUCACAGCAAAAACCGUGAGUAAAUGCACUAUUAUUUGUAGACUAUCAAAAUUGAAACACGCUGAAAGUCCUCCGUCUAAAUAUUUGAAAUUCCGACACAGUAAUACUUUCGCUACGCCCUGUAUAUCGAUCUUCCGCAUAGGCAGAGUAUGGCGUUUUUCAAUUCUCACGGAAUUUGGAUGUUUAUUUCGGUUUUUGCGAUUCUUUGAAAUUUGGUGUACAAAGGUGCCCCAAAUUGUUUAUAUCCUACAGAAUUGUAAACGGAAUAUUUUUCAAAGAGGUUCCACGUUAAGUAGGGACUCAGAGUAUUAAAAGGUUUUUAUGAUAUUUACAGUUUUGGUUUGUCGGUUAUAUGUUCGUCGGUAUAUCCGAAUAGCUACAGGAAGAAUCCCUGCUAUGCUGUUAGGCUGUUGCAGUCUAGAAGAUGAAAGAUUUUUAUGACUUUCUCAGACACAAAUUUAUUGAGGAUGUAUUGCAACCGGAAGGCUCAACCUAAAAUAAGCCGAUGCCUUUAGUAAUAUUGGUUCUAAAAACUAACUGUAAUAUAUUGAGUCACCGCAUUUCGUGUAAACUCAAGAGAUUUUGUUGUUGCGAAGUUUAAGUAAUUAUAAUUGGUUGAGGGUAAAACCAUCAUGGCGUUCGAGGGAUGUCUUGAGAGUUUUUCUGACCAUUUGAUUGGUAGAGAAAUAUCUGGUAUGAUUCCUAUUGGUCUAAGUAGGAAGUCACUUUUUUUUGGGAGAGGAACCCAAGUUUUAGAAGGAUCGAGUUAGCGGUCCUAGAAAUCAGUUCCGUAUAAGCUGUCAUCAUGUUCAGUCGAGUUCCGUAUAAGCUGUCAUCAUGUUCAGUUGAGUUCCACCAGGGCCACCAUCAAGUUGAGUUUAGUUUUGGUUCCCUUAGGGCCAUCGUCAUGGAGUUGAGUUCCAUUGGGCUGAUUCUAGCCCGGUGAAUGUGAUGGUGUAUCGUGAACCCCGGCGAUUUUCCCGCUGUUUCUAAGCAAAUCGUCGUUACCAUUUUAUACCAAUGUUGGUAUCCAUUAAUUUCUUUUAAGCAGUCAGAACCAGAAGUAGGAGAGAGGAGUUUCAAUUUUCUCAUUACUAUGUUUAACAGUGCAGUUAAAACAUGUAGUAUGCUCACAUACUUUAUUUUGGUCAAAGUUAAUGAACUUUCAAUAAUCAUGUUCGAGUCUAACUAAAUAAUUUUAUUCAAGUAAAAGUAAAAUUUGAUUCAGUUUAAUGAACUUUUAAACUAUUUAUCUUCAAGUGAAAGCUGAAUUUUUCUAUAAUAAUGUUUGUUUAUAAACAAUGUACUGUUUGCUGUUUGCUGUAAUUAACGACAGUGAAGUAAGUGUUUCGCGAGUGCAAUAGCGCCUUGGACUUUCGAAUCAAGCUACGAGGAAGAAGCCAGGACACUAAUUGUUAAGGACUUACCAGCGGCCAAUCCAUGACAUCAAGCUGUCAUCCAUCGGAUACCCUCUCAGUGGAGGCAUUUAAGGCAGGGCAUCGGAGCAACAACUACGUUUGAAAAUACAGAAGUUGUGGAGAAUUCUGACAUAGUCGUGAUAGCUACGAAACCAUCGAUAAUACCAAUAGCUUUAGAACCGAUUAAGAAGAGUGAGGUAAAGGCCAAUAAACUUUUUAUGUCAAUUGCGAUGGGAGUAACGUUAAGGCAACUAGAGCAAUUAUUACCCACAGAAGCUAGAGUUAUCAGGGUAAUGCCGAACACACCCGCCUUGGUCCAAA